GGUUUGGAACCAGCUGCUAAAGGGCAGUGACUAGUAAGAGAGCAGAGCGGGCAAGUGUGACCUGGGCCUGGCGGAAGAAGACCAAUCUUUUAGCUCGACAUGCACCCAC